GGUGGUUCUCGGGUGACGCACCCUGGAAUCGGGCUCCCUCCUCUCUGAUGCCAGGUACGUCACCCCAGAACCACC
rfam:Myotis lucifugus cont2.42375, whole genome shotgun sequence.